GGGAUCGGACAAAAGUUGACAGCUAGGCUGCCUUUUAGUCAACCUCAGGCUUGCCCGUAACACUGAGUAGUCCAUUGUUUUUCUUAUAUCUAUAGACAGUGUUAGAAUUUUACUCAGCACGAGAAUUUCGUAAAGAUUAUCAGGAUUAUGCAAAGUGAAUUUCAAACUUAAGGUCAAAGAGUUGAAUCAGAAAAAUUCUCUAUUUUAGCAGUGCUUCCACUUCAGCUACUGAGGCCUUAAAUGUGAAAUUCACAUUGAAUUCUCACUUUAGUGAAUAACCCUGUAUAUCUUUGUGAAAUAGAAAGAAGUAGCAGAGCUGCUUUAAUUUUGCCUGUGUG